rnacentral:tRNA from 1 species
GACUGGGACACGUUAGGUUGAGAGGGUUGCUGAUUUCCCGCGGCUUGGUGAUUAAGCUCGUGGAACAUGGGUUGUGAUAUGCGUGUUGACUGGAAAUGAUUUGACUUGGAUGGGGUAUGCACGAUUAAUAAUAUAAUGUACCUAUGUAAGAUAAAUGAUAUUAUGUACAUGCUUAUUAUUCAUGGGGCAAACAACUUAAUGCACGACGUACAUAGGCCAUUCAUAAGAUAUUGCAUGUCAGGUGGGUAUAGUGUUAUGUGGGGGUAUAAUCUGAUACUGACAGGGCACAUGAGGGUGAAUUGUUGUCUUUUAGGGGAAGAAAUCAAGGAAUAUUUUAAGUAUAAUUUCACCUUUGGGUGUUGAUGGUG